rnacentral:rRNA from 1 species
AUGAACGCUGGCGGCAGGCCUAACACAUGCAAGUCGAACGGGUAUCUUCGGAUACUAGUGGCGGACGGGUGAGUAACGCGUGGGAACGUACCUUUUGCUUCGGAAUAGCCUCGGGAAACUGGGAGUAAUACCGGAUGAGCCCUACGGGGGAAAGAUUUAUCGGCAAAAGAUCGGCCCGCGUUGGAUUAGGUAGUUGGUGGGGUAAUGGCCUACCAAGCCGACGAUCCAUAGCUGGUUUGAGAGGAUGAUCAGCCACACUGGGACUGAGACACGGCCCAGACUCCUACGGGAGGCAGCAGUGGGGAAUCUUAGACAAUGGGCGCAAGCCUGAUCUAGCCAUGCCGCGUGAUCGAUGAAGGCCUUAGGGUUGUAAAGAUCUUUCGUGGGGGAAGAUAAUGACGGUACCCCAAGAAGAAGCCCCGGCUAACUCCGU